ensembl:lncRNA
CUUAUUUUAAGAUCAGUCACAGAAAGUUAACCAAAAUUGCCUGAUUUCUGAUGUGCAUUAUAUUGUUUCUAUUAAUACAAAUAUCCAGAACCACACAUUCUCUCCUUCAGAAAUUCUCUUUCUUGGAAAAGCAAAAUAAGUGUGACUUUGUGUUAAUGAAUCCCUACUAUAGACUGGCUUGCGAACAGAAUCUCAUCUUUAUGUAAGAAAGCAAUUCCUUGGAAACGCUAUUCUGAAAAUAGUUUGAGGCAAGUGUCUUGUGAAAUCUGGACUGUAUGAAGAAUGCGCCCAUCUUUGCAAGUAACUGAAUGAUUACCCAGCUAAGGAACAACUGGUGUUUAAAGAACUCUACAUUAAAAUUACAGGGAUGGGAUACACCUGUCUCAACGAAGCAAGGCAACCUUUGUCAGCAGGUUGGCUAAUUUUGUGAGGUGGGCUUUAACAUGAAGUACUUGGAAGGGCAGAGGCCAAAGUUGCGUGGUUUGCAUUUUGUCAUCUCUCUACCAUGCCCUGGAAUGCUCCUCACUCCAUUGCAACUGAUGGGGGAAUAAUCCAGCCCAACCAGAAGAGCAAUAAAUGUUUCUCA